rnacentral:rRNA from 1 species
AUUGAACGCUGGCGGCAGGCCUAACACAUGCAAGUCGAGCGAGCGGCGGACGGGUGAGUAAUGUAUGGGGACUGCCCGAAAGAGGGGGAUAACUACUGGAAACGGUGGCUAAUACCGCAUACUAUCGGAUAACCCAUAUGGGAUUAGCUAGUAGGUGGGGUAAAGGCUCACCUAGGCGACGAUCUCUAGCUGGUCUGAGAGGAUGAUCAGCCACACUGGGACUGCUAAACGGCCCAAACUCCUACGGAGGCAGCAGUGGGGAAUAUUGCACAAUGGGCGCAAGCCUGAAUCAGCCAUGCCGCGUGUAUGAAGAAGGCCUUAUGGUUGUAAAGUACUUUCAGCGGGGAGGCGUUACCCACCGAGGAAGCCCCGGCUGACUCCGUGCCAGCAGCCGCGGUAAUAC